AGCAAUAUACAAACUAAAGUAACCUACCUUUAUAAGUUCAGCAGUGUGGUCAGAUAGUAACUUGACAGUGGGUAAUUCUGAGACAUCGGUUUGGACAGAAGCAUCUGGACCAAAGAAUCCCACCCUCAAUUGAUUUCCCAGUGAAAACCUCCACAUUAGGCGCCGCAGCAGACAAACAGAUUAUGGUGUUGCUAUAGCAACUUGGACAACUGGGAAACUGGCUCUCAUCAGGAGCAGGCUUCCGUCCUUAUCUCCUCCAUGACCCGGAAAAACUGUUAAGCUGUCGCCAUAUGUAGGAGUGUCAAUUCGUGUAUCCUACUGCGUGACAGCCUACCCUGGAGAAACCCUGACGAUGCUGGGCCAAUUGUGCGCAAUCACAGCUGGUUGUGAUACAGCCUGGAAUUGAAGCACGGUGUCUGUAGUGAUGCCUCUAGCACUGAGAUGCAGUGCCUUAGACUACCGCGCCACUCGGAAGCCCUCGGGAGAGUCGAAGGAGAGUUUCAUUUCAUACAAGCACAUUAGUAUCCACGUUUUCUCUGCACAUCUGAUUACCUUUGACCUUUUUCAAGAGGAGGCGAGGAGAGGACAGAAUUCCAAUUUAGAUUCUCGCUUUGUAACAGUGAUUUGACGGUGCAGAGUUUUAGAAUACAUGUUGCCAUCUAGUGGUGAUAGGAUAGUACCUCAUUGGGGAAUUCAAUCUUGCAGCGAUAAACUGCACGUUUAUCACAUUUGUCGUUUAAGCAAAGGCUGCAUGAGUCAAUCUGUUGAUGCGAAUUGUGGUAAAGUUAAAUAUGUAAUCUGUAGGUUUAAGUAACACAUUUGUAAUGAUAAUAACCACAACAGCUUGCAUGGCAUUUGUUAAGCAGUACCCCAGUAUUUGAUAUUAUUAAUUCUCUGUCCUAUUCAAGUCAGCAAAGCUGUUGUAUUUUAAUCAACCAACCAAGGCAGAGUUGGGCACUCAGCCAAUUAUCCAACAGCGCUGUUGCCAUAAUGUAAACGAUUUAAUUUCCAAGCAGCAUAGCAUGUUAGCAGUAUUGAAUCAUAAAACAAAUAAAAAAUCUAAGAAAUGUAAAAUGAUCAACAUCCAUAUUUUCCAUUCCAGUAUUUUCCAUACUGUGUGAUUUAAUCAGAAUCAAGUGCCAUCUGCUUUGAGACAAAAAAUCUGAAACAUCCAAAAUAUCACCUCACAUAGCUGCAGCCUAUAAAAUAGACUAGAAAGUAAAAAUUGACAUCAUAGCUCAAGUGGGGAAAGCCAAGGCAUGAUGAAAUCACUAAAUACCCCAGGCACAAAGUAGAUUAAGCCUAGCAGCACAUGACCCAAUCAUUCAGAGGCAGACAGAGCCCACAGCAGGCGAUGUGUUAAGGGGACAGAGUCAGCAAAUUAACCCCAUGGGAUCACAACAUGGUUCACACACAGAGGGCCAGAUUGGAUGGAAAAUAAAUCAAAACAAAGCUCUUUUAGGCCAGCCCACCCACAAUAGCCAGCGACAAUAACAUCACAACAGAGGAAAUGUGAAUAUUUGGAACAAAUGGCGUCCCAUACUAAAAUAAUCCGAACUGCGAAGCCUCCAUAUGCAAAUAAAAAAAAGUAAUUACUUAGUCAGAGGUUUAGGAGCAUCUGACACUUUGAGGUUUUAAUCUGACAUAUGGUUUGUUUGUGGGAGCAGAGGAGUGUUGUCAUACAGAAGGUUUAAAACUGAUUUUAGGGGGUAGAAUACGAAUUGUAUAUGAUUCAGAUUACAAAUAUUUUAGUUCCAUAAUAUUAUAUCAUCUGUUCCCCCCAACAUCAUCUCUGAUGUUUUAUGUGAUGACAUCACAGGCAUAGCAAUAUGAUCUCAAAUGGUCACAAGUCUUUUGAGAAGAGGAGCCUCAGCCAUAUUAUAUCCCUUCUUAGUUGAGACCAUUACAAUGUGCUUCAAUUACAUUUAAAAAAAACUAGAACGGUUCCUUAAUGAUUAUGACACACAACCAUUUUAUGCCCAGUCUGUGGAGAAAUUGACUGAAUUGGCGACACUUUUACAUCAGGGCCUAGUGGAGAGGAAACACUUUAUUUUAAUACAUUUCCUCCCUUCCUGUCCUCUGUCAUUUCCCUGUGAUAGUAAACUCUCCUGGACGCAUCCAACCGUUUCUGUGGCCAAGAGUGGGAAUAAAAUCAUUAAACCAUAAGUCACUUGGCAAGCAGGAAUAAAGGGCCCUCUGUUUCUCUGAGUCCUCCAGAAAAGAGCUGCAUGGUUUGUUGGUUUCAUUUAGAAACCAACAAGUUAAUGUUGCAUAUAAUGUAAUGUUUUGGAACUUAAAAUGUGAUUUUAUAUUGACUGAUGAAGCAUAGUAUAUGACUACUGUAAGGUAAAACUGGUGAAAUCAGAGGUGAGGCUUCUUCCAAUGGCCAAUCAUUUUAGAAAGGGUCUGAAAAAUGUACCAAAUAUGAUACAUGUAUGACCACACGAGGGCCCCAGAGAGAGCUCUGAGAAGACAGUUCUUUUUAAAAAAAAAUGCUGGUUCCAGGAUCCCACCUUAAAUAAGUAAUUCAGUAUCAAUAACAAAACCAGAGUAGAGCUACAAUUAUCUGGUUCUCAAUAGAUUUGGGAUAUUUAAGAAUACAGUACAUACUAACAUUCACUUACAUUGAAAAAAUCACCCAAUAGCCUUUGUGAGCAAUGUGCUGUGAAAAGCACAGAAUGUGUCACGCUAUCAACACCUGUCAUUGACUAUUAGCUACAUAAAGGUGAUGUUUAACCCUCAGUGGUAUAAAUGUUUAAGCAUUCCCUAUAAUAUUUCUGCCGUUUCUAUACAAGGCUUUAUUUAGUUUUGAAUUGAUCAAAUUGCCCCAUUGGUAAACAGUGCCCAGUCAAGUGCCCACCACAUACUGGUUAUACUACUUGUGACAGGUUAUAUUCCUAUAACCCUAAGAGGAUAGCUAUGGACCUCUGUGUGCUUCCUUGCCUGUGUGUGUAUACCCUUUCUCAGGGCUAGGGAAACCCCCUUGGCCCUUCCUCAAGACAUGAAGGGAGAGUGUUGGACUGCUGAAAAUAAACCCCUAUUAAAGCCAUUUUAUUCCUGCUUCAGAGAAUCAUGACAGCAGAAACUGUCUCCCUCUGUAACAUGUGGUGGGAGAUAUUUUGGGACAUUAGCCUGCAAAUAGACCACAAACCUAUACAUGACACAGAGAGCCAGGACAGUGAUCUUAAUUAUUAUGAUGACAAUUAAUGAUGCAUCUUAACUAAAGUAUAUGGUCCUAUGCUUCUGUAUUGCAUAUACUGCGUGUACACUUUAGAACAUAGUGUUUUCAGUGGUGGAAAAAGUACCCAAUUGUCAUACUUGAGUAAAAGUAAAAAUACCUUGAUAGGAAAUGACUCAUUUAAAAGUGAAUGUCACCCAGUAGAAUGCUAAAAUAUGCUUAAGUAUCAAAAGUAAAAGUAUAAAUCAUUUCACAUUCUUUAUAUUAAGCAAACCAUACGGCACCGUUUUCUGAUUUUUUAAAUUAACGGCUAGCCAGGGGUACACACCAACACUCAGACAUUUACAAAUGACGCAUGUGUGUUUAGUGAGUCCGCCAGAUCAGAAGCAGUAGGGAUGACAAGGGAUGUUGUCUUGAUAAAUGGGAAUUAGACAAUUUCCCUGUCCUGCUAAGCAUUCAAAAUGUAACAAGUACUUUUUGGGUGUCAGUGAAAAUGUAAGAAAUAAAAAAUACAUACUUUUUUUAGGAAUGUAGUGAAGUAAAAGUUGUAAAAAAAUAUGUAUAGUAAAGAUACCCCAAAAAACAACUUAAGUACUUUACACCAGUGAGUGUUUUAGCACAUAGUAGACUAUGACAUUUAAAUUGGUCUCGGGAAAAUUGCACGAUGGGUCAU